GUGUAGAUGAGGGUGCAGCACUGGUUCGGUUUCUGGCUGGAGAGGAUGGCAUCGAGUGGAGGGUCAGGCUCGUUACGACCCAGGUCCAUGAACUGCUUCCACUGAGGAACACGAAGAACGUCACUACAGGUGUUUCUUUGUACAUUAUAAUGGCCUUCAAGUCUGGAAGCCUGCCCUCUACCUGUGGACAACGGGAAUGCGGACAUAAAAAAUUUCAUCGCUGGUUGAUCGCCUUCAAGUCAGAAACCUGAACUCCAGUAGAAAUUCACUCACCCUGCGAAAAUGGCACCAAGGUCGGCGAUGAACCACUCGGGAGAGUUGAAGCCUAGGAUGCCGACGCCAUGGU